AAGGACCUUGUCUGAACAUAAUGAUUUCAAAACUUGAGCUUAAAUGACACUCUGAAAUCUAGUCAAUGUGCCUCAGUAGACUUUUCAUAGAACAUUAUUUUCAACAGAUAAAUUUUGACUUAUUGUGGAACUUUGAAUACUUAGAAAUGUCAGGUGUAAAUUGGCAGUAUACAUUGCCAUCUCUUCAGACAUCUUUUUUUAAGUUUUCAUAAGAUAUUCUGAGCUCAUUAUUUUUCCCUUCUUUUUAAACAUGCAUGCUGUUGAAAGCAAAAAAGGAAACUCAUCCUUAGAUCCCAGAAGGUACACACACAUGCUGAGAUGGAAGCAAGGACAUGUAAAAGGGAGACGGCCACCUCUUCGAUAAAACAUAGAAUGCCAGAAUUAGUGAUGUCCAGGAAAGAGGGGAACUCAUAUUUGUGGAACAUGUAUUAUAAAAUGCAGUGAGUAUGGGGUGAGAGGAUCUCUCCUGCUUAAUUGAGAUGAUGAAGGACCAAUAAGAGAGCAGUUUUUGAAAUCCAGUUCCAAGGAUAUAUUUGUUUUAGAUGUGAAUGCUGAUUAAUGACUUCAGGUGUUAAAUGCAGCAAGUCCAUCUAUGCCAAAAUGGCCAUUAUGAAUAGUUUGUGAGUGAUCAUGAAGAACGUGUGAUUUAGAGACUAGUACAGCAGAGUUUUACACACUGAAACAGUAUUGUGGGAUACACGAAAAGAAUAUGGGAGAAGAUGGGAUAUGAGAAGUACAUGAUGAAAAGAAGAGAUUUAUAGAUAACCUGAGGACAACUGACACCAGGAAUAUCCCUCAUGCUAUGGACUUCUUUAAUGUAAAAGUUUUAACUGGGAACAAUAGGAGGUGAUCGUUUCAUGAAAACACACUUCCGCCCUCCUGGUUUGAAAAUUCCAAGAAUUGGUAUCAUGAGACCUCUCACUGGCAGUAUUAUUCAUUCAGCGUUUCUUCAUCUCUGAUCUCUGUUUCCACGAAUACCCCUUGGAGAAAUUACUGUGGUGACUAAACAGAAAAACUGAUGCUAUUGCUUCUGCCACCAUCUUCAAAUCCAAAAAACAGUCUUAAUAAUGUAUGGAGACUUCUGUUUCAUGUGUUGGAGUGGAUACUCCUCUCAGAUCAGAAAAAAUGGACUGAGAAAACUCAAGUUUGAAAAUUACUAGAGUGUCAUUGGAGGGAAUUGUAACCAGGCAUGUUGACUGUUUUCAUAAUUGACAUUGGACUAAAUCUCAGGAACUUGAAUGGUGGAGAUGUUAUUACCCAGAGAGGUUCAGUAUGGUGUGAUUGUAAGGCAUCAUUUCAGUAUUCCCAUUAGAAUAAAGUGCACGUAUUUAUAAUUUUCACUUAUUACAGGGUAAAUUUAAAAUUGAUGGACAAAAAAUUACCCUUUUCCAGAUUUCAGAAGGCACAGAAAUUUAUCAAGGAUAGUAUUUUUACUUCUUAAAUGCUUUUUUCCCCUCCUAAUUCUACUUUCCAAGAUUAUCUACAGUUAAUGGAGUUUUGUGUUUAUACUCUUCAGGUAUAUUGAUAAACACAAUUUAUGCUAGUUGUCUUUUGGACCAAUAUAUUAGCUACAAAUUUUCUAGGCAGUUAAUAUGCUUUAUUUAGAAAAGAUUUUUAACUUCUCUGGCUAAUUUGUUGAAAAUAGAGUAUUUCCACCUUCUCAGAAUUAAGUAUAUGCAAAAUUUACAUUCUGAGUCAAAAGUAAAAAUUUUCCUCAAAUGGUAUAGAUUGUCCUCAUCAAUUUUUCUCCCAGUAUUUGUUUAUGAGAUUUCUGUUUUCUUAAAUAGUACAAACAUUACAUUUCGGAGUUUUAAUCUUUGACAAUGUGGUGUUACAAAAAACUGCUUUUAUUCUCUUACUGUUCAGUUCAGUCAUCUUCAUAUAUCCUUAAAACUUACUAGUCACUUGUUUUUUCAUUUUCCUCUGUUAUUUUUUUUUAAAUUUCCCUCAGAAUAUUAGUGCUUUUGUAAUGGUUUCUAAGAUCAUUUGUGACUAAGUAUGUUAGUAUGUUAACCAUUUGUCAUGCAUUGCAAAUUUCAUACUGUAUGUUCUCAUCACCAUUUUACUGUGAUGUUUUGCUGUACAAAAGUUGUGUUUUCAAAUAUAAUGCUCUGCUUUAUGCCUUUUGAGUUUUGUGUUUUUAUUCAGAUAUGUGUCCAUCACUCUCAUGCAUUCUUUGUAUUCUGUUUUUUGUCAGUCUGUCAUUUCAUUUUUUCUGUUAAUUGUUACUGUGGUUUUAAACCAUUACCCAGUCAAAUUAUUUACCUUGAUUUAAGCAGUUAUCACUUAGCUAAAUGCUACCAUAGUUAUUUAGAAAUUCCCACAUAGAAUCAUCUGCAUCUCUAUUUGUUUGCCUUACUAUCUUUUGAUACUUUAAAGUUACUGAUGAUUUUGUCUAUUCCAUUGAGAUCUAUCUCAUUUCUCUUUUUUUCCAGAAUAUUCCCUGUCUAUAGUCGCAUUUUUUUCUCUCAAUUGAUGCUUAAAAUUUUUUUUACAAGUUGGAAAAAAAAUGCAAUUUUAAUUUCAUUUGCACCAAAAUUAAUAGAUUAAUUAGGAGAGAAUAGAUGUCUUUAAAAGUGAGUCUUCCUAUCAGUCUGCAAGUUUUAACUGAGGUGUUACCAGCUUAAGAACUGAGACAUUUUAGAUUCUUCAAUAUCUGACAUUUCUAUAUCAAUCCAAAUUCUUGUACUUAUUUCUCAUUUCUGUGGACUUCGUUCUUCAAAAGUACUGCAUGUUUCAUAAGCAAGGAUCAAAGAAACUGUCUACAGGUGUUGAACAUAUGUACAAGAGGACGAUCAGUACCUUCUGCAGUGGUACCAUGCACAGCAUCACCUAUUUCCUGUCAUUAUUUCCACUUUUGGAAGCUCAUUGAAUCUUUAUAUCUCAAAAGGCACAAGUUUUAUAUAUGUACCACCAGGAAUAGAAGUGAUCUUCUUUUUGGCAAGUAAUUGCCCAGAAUGUUAAGUACUUUUUUGUUCUCUGAAUAUAUCUUACGCUUUCCUCUAAUAUUGUUUACCUCAUUGAUUUUUUCCCCCCUCUAUGUUUUCCGUUAGAAGCGGGAAUAAGAUUUGUGUGUGGUAAA